GCGCCGUUAGCUCAGUUGGUAGAGCAAUUGACUCUUAAUCAAUGGGUCGUAAGUUCGAUCCUUACACGGCGCA
rnacentral:tRNA from 1 species